rnacentral:rRNA from 1 species
CCCUUAGAUGUCCUGGGCUGCACGCGCGCUACACUGAUGCGCUCAACGAGUUUACGAUCUUGCUUGAAAUGGCUGGGUAAUCUUUUUAAAAUGCAUCGUGAUGGGGAUAGAUUAUUGCAAUUAUUAAUCUUCAACGAGGAAUUCCUAGUAAGCGCGAGUCAUCAGCUCGUGCUGAUUACGUCCCUGCCCUUUGUACACACCGCCCGUCGCUCCUACCGAUUGAGUGCUCAGGUGAAUAAUUCGGACUGCAGCAAUGUUCGGAUCCCGAACGUUGCAGCGGAAAGUUUAGUGAACCUUAUCACUUAGAGGAAGGAGAAGUCGUAACA